UGUGAGCACACAAUGAGAAGCUGGCAGUCUGCAACCUAGAAGAGGGUCCUCACCAGAACCCAACCAUGCUGGCCACCUGAUCUUGUACUUCCAGCCUCCAG